rnacentral:rRNA from 1 species
CCUACGGGUGGCAGCAGUGAGGAAUAUUGGUCAAUGGACGCGAGUCUGAACCAGCCAAGCAGCGUACAGGAAGACUGCCCUAUGGGUUGUAAACUGCUUUUAUAAGAGGGUAAAGGCAGAUACGUGUAUCUUUCUGUAUGUAUCUUACGAAUAAGGAUCGGCUAACUCCGUGCCAGCAGCCGCGGUAAUACGGAGGAUCCAAGCGUUAUCCGGAUUUAUUGGGUUUAAAGGGAGCGUAGACGGGUGGAUAAGUUAGGUGUGAAAUCUUGCGGCUCAACCUCGAAAUUGCCAUUGAUACUGUCAGGCUAGAGUACAGUUGCGGUAGGCGGAAUGUGUGGUGUAGCGGUGAAAUGCUUAGAUAUCAUGCAGAACACCGAUUGCGAAGGCAGCUUACUAAACUGCUUCUGACGUUGAUGCACGAAAGCGUGGGUAUCAAACAGGAUUAGAUACCCUAGUAGUC